CAAUAGCGUAUAUUAAAGUUGUUGCAGUUAAAAAGCUCGUAGUUGGACCUUGGACCUGGACAGGCGGUCCGCCUCACGGCGAGUACUGUCUUGCUGGGUCUUUCCUCUUGGUGGUCUGUUGUUUCGGCAGCAGGGAACCAGGACCUUUACUUUGAAAAAAUUAGAGUGUUCAAAGCAGGCUCGACGCCGGAAUAUAUUAGCAUGGAAUAAUAAAAUAGGACGUGCGGUUCUAUUUUGUUGGUUUUUGGAAUCGCCGUAAUGAUUAAUAGGGACAGUCGGGGGCAUUAGUACUCACAUGCUAGAGGUGAAAUUCUUGGAUUUUGUGAAGACUAACUUCUGCGAAAGCAUUUGCCAAGGAUGUUUUCAUUAA
rnacentral:rRNA from 1 species